UCUCUCGAGACUCCGACAGGCUGCCUCCAUCUCCGCAGCCGAUCGUGACGCCGACGACCGCCAGGCCGCCUUCCUCAUCCGCUCCUCCUCCACUUGGAUCCGAUCGGCGACCGCUAUUGCUCCUCCGCCUGGUGUCUCGGAUAUCCCACAAUCAUCACCAUUGUUGUCAUUUCGAGGAUUUCAGGUCUGCUAACGAAUGACUAUAAUUUUGAUCGCAAGUUGACAAUCUUGGCCUAGAGUGCUUCCGAAGUGGUAUCAAAUACUGUUUUCAAAGGAGAAGAUGAUGGUGGUGGAGAAGCUCUCUUCCUUAUAAGAUUUGUGGAUGAUGGGAGACCCUUUUGGCAAUUCAUAGUC